rnacentral:rRNA from 1 species
AUCUGCCCAGUGAAAAUUUUUAACGGCCGCAGUACCUUGACUGUGCAAAGGUAGCAUAAUCACUUGACUUUUAAAUGGAGCCUGGAAUGAAAGAAAGCACGUAAACAACUUGUCUCAUUAGUAAUAUCUUUAAGUUAUUGAAGGAGUGAAAAUACUCUUAACUUUAAAAAUAGACGAGAAGACCCUUAGAAUUUUUAAAAUAUAUAAGUGAGACUUGUAAAAAUUUUUGUUGGGGCAACAAUAUUUCAUUUAAUAAGUAUUUAUUUAAAAGAUAUGUCGAUUUAAUAAUUAUAGUAAAAUUACCUAAGGGAUAACAGCAUAAUAUUCAUAGUAAGCUUGUGACCUCGAUGUUGGACUAGGUACUAUUAAGGCUAAUCGUUUUAAUAUAAUAUGUUCUGUUCGAACUUUAUUACCUACGUGAUCU